rnacentral:rRNA from 1 species
AUUGAACGCUGGCGGCAGGCUUAACACAUGCAAGUCGAGCGGGGUGAUGGUGCUUGCACUACCACUUAGCGGCGGACGGGUGAGUAAUGCUUAGGAAUCUGCCUAUUAGUGGGGGACAACAUUUCGAAAGGAAUGCUAAUACCGCAUACGUCCUACGGGAGAAAGCAGGGGAUCUUCGGACCUUGCGCUAAUAGAUGAGCCUAAGUCGGAUUAGCUAGUUGGUGGGGUAAAGGCCUACCAAGGCGACGAUCUGUAGCGGGUCUGAGAGGAUGAUCCGCCACACUGGGACUGAGACACGGCCCAGACUCCUACGGGAGGCAGCAGUGGGGAAUAUUGGACAAUGGGCGGAAGCCUGAUCCAGCCAUGCCGCGUGUGUGAAGAAGGCCUUAUGGUUGUAAAGCACUUUAAGCGAGGAGGAGGCUACUCUAGUUAAUACCUAGAGAUAGUGGACGUUACUCGCAGAAUAAGCACCGGCUAACUCUGUGCCAGCCGCCGCGGUAAGAC